AGUGAACGCUGGCGGUAGGCCUAACACAUGCAAGUCGAACAGCAGCACAGUAAGAGCUUGCUCUUACGGGUGGCGAGUGGCGGACGGGUGAGGAAUACAUCGGAAUCUACUUUUUCGUGGGGGAUAACGUAGGGAAACUUACGCUAAUACCGCAUAGGACCUACGGGUGAAAGCAGGGGAUCUUCGGACCUUGCGCGAUUGAAUGAGCCGAUGUCGGAUUAGCUAGUUGGCGGGGUAAAGGCCCACCAAGGCGACGAUCCGUAGCUGGUCUGAGAGGAUGAUCAGCCACACUGGAACUGAGACACGGUCCAGACUCCUACGGGAGGCAGCAGUGGGGAAUAUUGGACAAUGGGCGCAAGCCUGAUCCAGCCAUACCGCGUGGGUGAAGAAGGCCUUCGGGUUGUAAAGCCCUUUUGUUGGGAAAGAAAAGCAGCAGGUUAAUACCCCGCUGUUCUGACGGUACCCAAAGAAUAAGCACCGGCUAACUUCGUG
rnacentral:rRNA from 1 species